rnacentral:rRNA from 1 species
CAAUAGCGUAUAUUAAAGUUGUUGCGGUUAAAAAGCUCGUAGUUGGAUUUCUGCUGAGAGUGGCCGGUCUACCUUUUGGGUAAGUAUCUGGAUUACUCUUGGCAUCCUCUCGGAUACCGUCUCUGCGCUUGAUUGCGUGGUGCGGGGUUCGAGACUUUUACUUUGAGGAAAUUAGAGUGUUCACGGCAGGCAUACGCCUUGAAUAUAUUAGCAUGGAAUAAUACUAUAGGAUUUCGGUUCUAUUUUGUUGGUUUCUAGAGCUGAGAUAAUGAUUAAUAGGGACAAUUGGGGCGAUUCGUAUUGACGAGUCAGAGGUGAAAUUACUUGGAUUUCGUUCACGACGAACUAACUGCGAAAGACAUUUGUCCAAGGAUGUUUUCUAUUGAUCAAGAAACGAAAAGUAAAGGGGAGUCGAAGAACGAUCAGAUACC